CGAGAUCGGGAAGCCAUCGAACCGUCUCUCCCUCCCUUCCUCGGAUCGUCGCCUUCUUCCGUUGCGACCGGGCCGAGGCUUACCUGCGGCUCCCAUGCCGAGGGGCAGGAGGACGGAGCCGUCGCGCGGCCCAACGCGUUGCUCCUCCUUUGGGGCUAUUGAUGGGGUUCACUUGGGCCGAUCAUCAUCGGAGUCGAUGUGGAGUGUGAUCUGCUCUUGUCUCGUGCUUGACGUUCUUGAUCUUUUGCGCUGUUAGUUUCUCGAUCCUUUUUUCUGAUCUUAAAUUCGGAAGACAUGAUUUAGAUUCCGAUCCUACCUCGUCAUCGGACUCCGCUGCCGCUCGCACGCGGGUCGUCGCUUUCUUCUGCUGCUGCCGUGGCGAGACCGAUGACAAGGAGCAGGAGGACGGAGCCGUCGCGAGGCCCGAGGCGGUUCUCCUUCGUAGGGCCGAUCAUCAUCGGACUCUCCGGUUUCUCGUCGAUAAGGCAUCAUUUAGAUCCCGAUCCUACUUCCCCCCCCAAGACUUAUGGAGCUGUCGCGAGACGUUCAACAAGUUCGCCUCUGUUUAGGGCCAAGCCGGCUUCGCUUCGGCAGAUUAUCGUCGGAGCUUCCGGUUUCCCGCUGAUCCCGAUCUCAAGGUGACAUCUACCCUUUGUUCAUGAUAUGUUGCUCUCUCACUCUCUC